rnacentral:rRNA from 1 species
UAUGCAGGCGGAUCGUUAAGUCGGGGGUGAAAUCCCGAGGCUCAACCUCGGAACUGCCUUCGAUACUGGCGACCUUCGAGUCCGGGAGAGGUGAGUGGAACUCCGAGUGUAGAGGUGAAAUUCGUAGAUAUUCGGAAGAACACCAGUGGCGAAGGCGGCUCACUGGCCCGGUACUGACGCUGAGAUACGAAAGCGUGGGAGCAAACA